rnacentral:rRNA from 1 species
UACGUAGACCUCAAGCGUUAUCCGGAUUUAUUGGGCGUAAAGAGCAUGUAGGGGGCCUGGUGCGUCUCUAGUUAAAUAUCACUGCCUAACGGUGAAACUGCUGGAGAUACGAUCAGGCUAGAGGAGGUUAGAGGUGCAUGGAACGCACGGUGUAGGGGUGAAAUCCGUUGAUAUCGUGCGGAACACCAAAGGCGAAGGCAGUGCACUGGGACCUUUCCUGACCCUGAGAUGCGAAAGCGUGGGGA